GGACUCUGCGAAGUCGUAAGACGAAGUAUAGGGUCUGACGCCUGCCCGGUGCCGGAAGGUUAAGGGGACAUGUCAGCGCAAGCAAAGCAUCGAACCGAAGCCCCGGUAAACGGCGGCCGUAACAAUAACGGUCCUAAGGUAGCGAAAUUCCUUGUCGGGUAAGUUCCGACCUGCACGAAUGGCGUAACGAUUUCCCCACUGUCUCAACCAGGGACUCAGCGAAACUGUAGUACCGGUGAAGAUGCCGGUUACCCGCAACAAGACAGAAAGACCCCGUGAACCUUUACUAUAGCUUGGCAUUGUGUUUAGGGACAACAUGUGUAGGAUAGGUGGGAGACUUUGAAGCGUGCACGCUAGUGUGCGUGGAGUCAACCUUGAAAUACCACCCUUGUUGUCUUUGAACUCUAACCGCGGUCCCUCAUCGGGAUCCGGGACAGUGUCUGGUGGGUAGUUUGACUGGGGCGGUCGCCUCCCAAAGAGUAACGGAGGCGCGCGAUGGUUCCCUCAGGCUGAUUGGAAACCAGCCGUAGAGUGUAAAGGCA
rnacentral:rRNA from 1 species